GGUUGGCCAUGUUCGUGGAUUGCAGAGCUUCUCGCUGCCUGAGCUGCCUUGCGACUAUGGUGCUCUGGAGCCAGAGAUUAGCGGAGAGAUCAUGCAACUCCACCAUCAGAAGCACCACCAGACCUACAUCACCAACUACAACAAGGCGCUCGAGCAGCUCGAGCAGGCCCUCGCCAAGGCCGAUUCCUCUUCCAUCGUCCAAUUGCAGAGCGCCAUCAAAUUCAACGGCGGAGGUCAUAAAAAUCACUCGAUUUUUUGGAAGAAUCUCACACCCGUUAGAGUAAGUGCCUUAGCCUUUGUCAUCUCUACCUUUGUUAAUCGAAUUCCAUUAAUCUCACGCAGAGCAAACCAAAAGGGCCGGGGUCAAAAGAGAGUUCGGGAUUUUGCAUCUUCGGAUUGAAUUAAGUACAUCACACAUUUCAAGACGUCAGACUGAAGAUCUGAAGGGUCGCGUGUUCGAUCCACGCUCACCCACCCAAGUAAAUGAUCUUUUAUCUUCUUCUUUUUUUUUCUUUUUUUUUUUUUUGACACGUAAGUGAUCUUUUUUAUAUUUCAUUUUUUCUGAAACCCGCUAAUGUGUAA